AGAGUCGAUCGGACAGUCGCUGCCUUCUUUACUGAAGGGGGAGGAAAGUCCGGGCUCCAUAGGGCGGAGUGCCAGGUAACGCCUGGGAGGCGCGAGCCUACGGAAAGUGCCACAGAAAAUAACCGCCUAAGCGUUUCGGCGCCGGU
rnacentral:RNase_P_RNA from 1 species